UACGUAGGCAGCAAGCGUUGUUCGGAAUUAUUGGGCGUAAAGGGCGCGUAGGCGGUGCGGUAAGUCCGCAGUGAAAUCUCUGGGCUCAACUCAGAGUCUGCUGUGGAAACUGCCGUGCUUAGGGUGGGAGAGUAAGGCGGGAAUUCCUGGUGUAGCGGUGAAAUGCGUAGAUAUCAGGAGGAACACCGUGGUGGUGAGAU
rnacentral:rRNA from 1 species